GUGCUCGAUUAUGCAGCACAUAUACUAAAAUUGGAAUUAUAUGGAGAAGAUUAGCAUGGCC
rnacentral:snRNA from 1 species